rnacentral:lncRNA from 1 species
ACAGAUCUUAUCAACAGGAUACUGGAGAUAGACAGCUAUGAUGGAGUAGCUCCUGGGAGCCCUCGCUGGGAACAGACUCGCCCUUGUGAUGCCACUCUGGGAAAAGCCUGUGCAGGGCUAGGGCUUGGAGCUCCUGAACCGUACUGUCCACUUAGAGUGGCCAGCCUCUGUCACAGUAACAGGAACAUCGAGGAUCAGAACAGUAAGUUUCUACCUUAUACCCAGGAACCUGUGUUACGUGUUAACCUGUAUCUCUCCCUUGAGUCCUGCUAUGGGCUUGCAAGGGAGGUGACUCUAGUUCUCAGUGUGCAGAUGACUGGGUGCAGACAAGGAAAAGCCAAUCUUCCUGACUUCAAAACAGGAGCAUGCUCUUUCCCUGUUUGGGGAAGUGCGCCAACUCUGAAGGUGCGGAUACUCAGGGCUUAGCUCUUUCCGAUAGGGAAGGUAAUGGUAGUUUUUACCAAGCAUCUGGAGGAACAGCACCCUCAACCCAGCCUGGCAUCUAUCUUCUCAUUUCAACGGGGCCAGAACCUGAGUAUUACAAACCCAGCUGCUAACAAGAGGCAAACAGAAAAGCACGUUGGCCAACCGGAGAGGGAAGCUUGCUAUGUACCACCAAGCCAUCUUGCUGGCCAGAGCCCAGACUUUGUUUUAAGAGUCUCUCUCUUUAGUUGUGGCUGUUCUGGAACUUCUUUUGUAAGCCAGACUGAUCCCAAACUCUCAGACUGA